rnacentral:rRNA from 1 species
GCAGUCGAACGAUGAACCCUUCUGGGUGGAUUAAUGAGUAACGGGUGAGUGACACAUGGGCAAUCUGCCCUGCACUCUGGGACAAGCCCUGGAAACGGGGUCUAAUACCGGAUGACACUUCCUUCCGCAUGGGAGGAGGUUGAAAGCUCCCUUGUGCUCCGAUGAGCCCGCGGCCUAUCAUCUUGUUGGUGGGGUGAUGGCCUACCAAGGCGACAAAGGUAGCCGGCCUGAGAGGGCGACCGGCCACACUGGGACUGAAAACGGCCCAAACUCCUACGGGAGGCAGCAGUGGGGAAUAUUGCACAAUGGGCGAAAGCCUGAUGCCCCGACGCGCCGUGAGGGAUGACGGCCUUCGGGUUGUAAACCUCUUUCUUCAGGGAAAAAACGAAAGUGACGGUACCUGCCUAAGAAGCGCCGGCUAACUACAUGCCAACCGCCGCGGUAAUACGUACGGCGCACCCGUUGUCCGGAAUUAUUGGGCGUAAAGAGCUCAUAUGCGGCUUGUCACGUCUGAGGUGAAAGCCCUGGGCUUAUCCCCGGAUCUGCAUUCGAUACGGGCGGGCUAUACUGUGGAAAGGGAGAUCGUAAUUCCUGGUGUAGCGGUGAAAUGCUCCGAUUUCAGGAGGAACACGCGUAGAGAUGGCGGAUAUCUGGGCCAUUACUGACGCUCACGAGCGAAAACAUGGGGAGUCAACAGGAAUAG